rnacentral:lncRNA from 1 species
UAGGAUAAUAAUGGAUGUUUGGGUGUUUAAAAGCUCGAGUCUUUCAAGCCUUAACUGAUCCAGAAAAAGUCCGACUGGUCUAAAAAGUCCAACCGGUCCAGUAAAAGUCUGACAGGUCCAUCCAACAUCUGUACCUAACUUAUAUUUUCUCUACCAGUCCAAAAAAAUCCCAAUCGGUCCAUACAAGGUCAGUCUAAUUUAUAUUUCUCUACCGGUCCAGGAAAAUCCCAACCGGUCCAAAUGAGAAAAAACUGCAGACUCCGUUUUUCUAUCCUGACUUCUAAGCCAGUUUUUGGCAUCCAAACCUCAAAAUUAUAAAAAUGCUAUUUGAAUCAAAGUUGU